CAGUCGCCGCGGUAAUACGUAGGUGGCAAGCGUUGUCCGGAAUUAUUGGCGUAAAGGGCUCGCAGGCGGUUUCUUAAGUCUGAUGUGAAAGCCCCCGGCUCAACCGGGGAGGGUCAUUGGAAACUGGGAAACUUGAGUGCAGAAGAGGAGAGUGGAAUUCCACGUGUAGCGGUGAAAUGCGUAGAGAUGUGGAGGAACACCAGUGGCGAAGGCGACUCUCUGGUCUGUAACUGACGCUGAGGAGCGAAAGCGUGGGGAGCGAACAGGAUUAGAUACCCCCGUAGUCCCUGUCUCUUAUACA
rnacentral:rRNA from 1 species